UCGAAUCUCACAUAGGAUGCUAAAAGACUAAUGUGUAACCCUGAAAGAAACAGAACACGUUCAAGCCCACCCAAGUUGUAUACCUGAAAGAGACAGAACAGAUUCAUUUUCACUUUUUUUCAAUUGAUUUCAUUCUUUUCUCUGCCUGCUUGUAGAUAUAAAUUCACUAAAAUCUUUAUUUACCACAGUUAAUACACAUGUGAAAAUGUCAACAAAUCAGUAAAGCUUAAAUAUUAUUGACCCAAAAAAAUAACAUGACUAUUCAAUUCAUCUCUCUCUCUCUCUCUCUCUCACACACACACACACUAACACACUCACACACACUCUUGAAUACAGAAAGCAUCAAUAGAUUUUCAAAGAAAAACACAAAUCCCAAUCAAACAAAAAGAUGGCAUCCUGAAAAUGAUUCCAUAUUUAGCUGAAUAAAAGAGUAUCCAGCAACGUCAAUCAAGCCUAAGCAAUACCAUUGAAACUACAUCAACAAAACCGGUUUAAAUUAUUUUCAUCCCGCAAUUUCCUCCACAUAAUCAUCCAUAAAUUAUGAGUCCCGGCCUAAAGAAAGUUCCAAGCUUUAAUCAAGCAGCUUGCAGAGAAAAACAAAUUUCGUUACAGUAAGCCUUUCCAGGCGUUCAGGAGAAAAACACAAAUCCUAAUCAAACUAAAAGAUGACAUCCUGGUUCACCAAAAAAAAAAAAAAAAGAUGACAUCCUGAAAAUAAUUCCAUAUUUAGCUGAAUAAAAAGAGUAUCCAGCAACUUCAAUAAAGCCCAAUCAAUACCAUUGAAAAGACACCAAUAAAACCGAUUUAAAUCAUUCUCAUCCCACAGUUGCUCCCUUUGAACAUGAUUAUAAAUUGAUUAACGGUCCCGGCAUAAAGAAAGUUCCAAGCUUUAAUCAAGCAGCUAGCAGAGAAAAACAAAUUUUGUUACCG
rnacentral:lncRNA from 1 species